rnacentral:piRNA from 1 species
UGGACACAGGCACGUAUGAGGGAAGACAA